rnacentral:misc_RNA from 1 species
CAAAAUCCCAGAUGCCAAGUUGGCCUUUCUUAUCACCAGAUAAAAGAAUAUUGUUGUUUGUAGGAUGGAACUCCAAGCACGUGAUUCGCCUACUGUGGUACCUGAUUACUGCACAGGAGACUUGAUCUGGGAUCACAUGUGCUGGCUUGAUUGGAGGAAGGCGGGGGUGAAGCUGGCGUUGGAAAACAAAUUCCAAAGGAUUAGUUGUGUUCUUGUGAGGCGCUGGGUGCAUCCCAUAUUCUGUAGCUACUCGGUGGGGGCAAGUGACUGUGGUGUGACCAGGCAAUUUGCAUAGAAAACAUGGUUUCAUAGG